UACGGGGCGCACCAGUCGCGAAAACUUCACAAUGGGAGAAAUCCCGAUGAGGGAAUACCAAGUGCCAGCACUUUUGUGUUGGCUGUUCCCCUGUCUAAAAAACAGGAGAAGUAAGGGCCGGGUAAGACGGGUGCCAGCCGCCGCGGUAA
rnacentral:rRNA from 1 species